rnacentral:rRNA from 1 species
AGCUUGCUCCCGGAUGUUAGCGGCGGACGGGUGAGUAACACGUGGGUAACCUGCCUGUAAGACUGGGAUAACUCCGGGAAACCGGAGCUAAUACCGGAUAGUUCCUUGAACCGCAUGGUUCAAGGAUGAAAGACGGUUUCGGCUGUCACUUACAGAUGGACCCGCGGCGCAUUAGCUAGUUGGUGGGGUAAUGGCUCACCAAGGCGACGAUGCGUAGCCGACCUGAGAGGGUGAUCGGCCACACUGGGACUGAGACACGGCCCAGACUCCUACGGGAGGCAGCAGUAGGGAAUCUUCCGCAAUGGACGAAAGUCUGACGGAGCAACGCCGCGUGAGUGAUGAAGGUUUUCGGAUCGUAAAGCUCUGUUGUUAGGGAAGAACAAGUGCGAGAGUAACUGCUCGCACCUUGACGGUACCUAACCAGAAAGCCACGGCUAACUACGUGCCAGCAGCCGCGGUAAUACGUAGGUGGCAAGCGUUGUCCGGAAUUAUUGGGCGUAAAGGGCUCGCAGGCGGUUUCUUAAGUCUGAUGUGAAAGCCCCCGGCUCAACCGGGG